AGGACCUCCGAUCAAGCAAGAGG
rnacentral:rRNA from 1 species